GCAUCAUAAACCGUAUCACUUGCGUUUCCGUUUUGCAAUUGUGUCGUCGAAAGUAAUCUCUUUCUCUCUGUUUACGUUUUUGCCAUGAUAAAUAUUCCAUAAAUUUUGAAGUAUGUUUGAUUUUGUCUUGUGGUCCCUUUUUUGUUAUUUUCUUGUGUGUAUUAGUUGUAUGAGUGUGAAUUUUGUUUAUUUCCUUUGUGUUCAAUAGUUGUAUGAGUUGAGUUUGAUGGUUGGCUAUUUGUGAUUUAUUAAGUGAUAUCAAUUUAUUAUGAACCCAUUAAUGAUCUUGGCAUAUAUGUAUGAAUUAAGAAAAGAUAUAAAUUGAAUUAGAAUAAA
rnacentral:lncRNA from 1 species